rnacentral:rRNA from 1 species
AAUAUUGGACAAUGGGCGCAAGCCUGAUCCAGCCAUGCCGCGUGAGUGAAGAAGGCCUUCGGGUUGUAAAGCUCUUUUGUCCGGAAAGAAAAGCUGCCGGUUAAUACCCGGUGGUUAUGACGGUACCGGAAGAAUAAGCCCCGGCUAACUACGUGCCAGCAGCCGCGGUAAUACGUAGGGGGCAAGCGUUGUCCGGAUUUACUGGGCGUAAAGAGCGCGUAGGCGGAAGCUUAAGUGUGGUCUGAAAGCCCCCGGCUCAACCGGGGAAGGUGACUGCAAACUGGGUUUCUUGAGGGCGAUAGGGGUGAGCGGAAUUCCUGGUGUAGCGGUGAAAUGCGUAGAGAUCAGGAGGAACACCGAUGGCGAAGGCAGCUCUCUGGGUCGGCCCUGACGCUGAGGCGCGAAAGCGUGGGGAGCGAA